ACCAGCCCCCAGACUCUGGCUAAGUUCAAAGCCUACUUCAGGAUCUGCAGCCCAAACUUUGCCGGCUCAGGCCUGGUGACUAUUUUAAACUUAGGAUAAAGGAGAUUUUAAAAAGCAGCAAUGAAAACAUUUUCUAAACAUGUUUGCAAUCCAAUCAGCCCCUUGGUAAUUUGAUUUGUAGGAAAUGGCAAGUGAGGCACUGCAAGCAGAGGACUGAAGGUACUGAGGUCACUGGGAGUUUUGCCAAGGGCUUCAGUGGGAGCAGGAUUAAGCCCAGAUACCAAGAGUUCGGGAGAGUCUUGGGAACGCAACAAAGCCUUAGGAAAACAGACAUCUGGAACAGGGAAGUUCCUCUGCCCAAGUCAGGGAUCCCAGUUUCCUUGUGGAAGGCAGGAGUCUCUGGCUCCUAAAACUUCAGUCUGAGACGACCACCUUGGAUUUGAGGAGGGAACCACCCCCCGUCCCUGGACCCACUAAAAAACCAGAGUUGGAGGUGAUGUGUAAAGCUGUAUCAGUGGGGGAAUGAAAGACCCUCCUAGACCAGUGAAUUUGUCAGUUCUCAACAGUAAAGGAAGGUGAGGAGUGUGCUGAAUAUGAGCCCACGAGAAAGGGAAGGAGGAAGAACUAGAAGCCCUGGAAACAACCACAAUGAUAACCUGAACUUUCAAAUGUCUUUCCCUGGAAAGAAGAAUCGAGAGCUAAACAACAUCCCGGCAACGCCUGCAUCCUCUCAAAAAUGUCAAAGCCAGGGGGAUUUUUUUUUUUGGCUACUCAAAUCCUGUGUUUAGCAGCAAGUUAAUGUCACAAGGCUUUGGCUAAUACCAGCGCUGCCCCCCUCUAAUUUCCAUAUCUGAGUGGCAGAUCCCUGGAAUCUGCCUUCUGCCUUUAGCCUGACCUCAGCCUACAAACACAGACUAUAUUUAACAUGUCGAUUGUAAUGAAAUGUGCGUUUGAGUCGUGCCCCCACCCCAUCCACCUCCUCGCUGUGUUUUAAAGGCAGGUUGCUGUCAGAUGGUAACAGGUUUGUUCAGAGACACCCGCGCGCGCGCACACAGACAUAUGACAGUUUUAUUCUGAAAUCCUGAUUGAAGACAGAAACACUCCCUGGGCUAAAGUCAGCCAUCGCAGCUCCUAUUGGCUUCAAUGGGAGAUGAUUCCCCCUUUACACUGGAGCUGAAUUUGGCCCUUUGUUUGGACAGAUACUUGUCUUCUGUUAAUAACACUUCCUUUUGUCACCCUUUCCUCUAUAGGGCUUGCAACAAUCAGAUGUCCCUGAAGGAAUGUUGGCACUUGCAGCUAUAGGGUGUUUUGCUCUUCAGAGCUACACCGUAAACUCUAAACCAGCUGCAUCAGAACCGAUCUGGGCUCCCCUUCCCUCCAAUGAAAACCCCCAUAUGAUUACACCACAAACCUGUGUCAGGUCUUUCAACAAACAGGCUCUUUGAUUUCUCUACCAUCCCUUUAGUUGUGGUGAUCCAAGUAUUCUAAACUUGGAAACAUCUACCCAGGGCCAGGCUUAGGGUGGACAUGAAUUCAAGCCACAGACCUGAUACUCUGAAAACAACAAGCUUUUAAAACAUCCGAUUUAAAAAAUAAUAAUAAUUACAGCCUAAACAUGCUUUCCAAAACUUGUUGGCAUCCUAAAGCUUCUAGGAUAAUCAGAAGCUCAGGAUGGCCUUUCAUCCACUCUAGAUACUGCUAUGAAGAAUAGAUUUGCAGUUUAUAAUCUUUGUGGUGCAGAUUUUAAAACUGCAGCAUUAUAGCCUGGUAGGAGGUUCAGUCCCAUAGUCUAGGGACUGCUGAUCUUCCCCUUUGGAGACCUGUUUCCACAUCUGCUCUAGGCCUUAACUGCAAUGAGUUUUUGUGAUCUCAGCCUAGUCUGUCCUGUACAUCUGUCCACAUAAAAAAUCCCAGCCAUGCCAUUUGUCAUGAUUGCUUGUCACCAGGCCUGGUAGCAAAACACAGAGGGUGCUGCAUAUCAGGACUGAAGGGACUGGCACAGCUAUAAAGAGGAUGGGGGGCUAGGAGAGCAGAGGAUGCUGCAGGUUAGAACCAAGGGGCAUUGGAUUAUUUAUGUGACACAGCUUUUCCUUGCUACCCUCAGUCAGGGGAGCCUGGGACUAGAAUAAGGGUUUGGUGGGCUGGGGCUGAGGUGGAUGGGCAGAGCAGGGGGACAAGGGGAGCCCUGGGUACCUCCCACACAACCACCACUUGGCUGUCCCCAGCACUAUCAUUCCUUCAUUUCCAAUUCCCUAAAUCAAAUUCCCACUAAUCCGGAAAGGGGAAGUGGGGUGAGAAUCCAACUUCUCCAUUUACCUAUUGUAAGAAAAUGACUGUGUAUAUCAUUCAUGUACACUGAAAUAUCAUUGUCUAGGAAAGCCCCACACAUGAGCAAUCAGAAGGCUAUAAUUGCAGACAUAAGUUUGACAAUAAACAGUUUUACUGGUAUCUAUUGAAUGUACUCAGACAGAAUUCCCAUUAUACGCAUGGCGCUGUACAGUAAAUGUCUAUAACCGUCUAUGUAUAAAGAGAGUCAUUUUUAGCACUAUAUAAAUAUUGCCUAGCUAGAUAACAUGAUUUCAAAGCUAUAAUGUGGCUGCUAUUUUCUAUAAGUUUUAAGAUUAUGAGGGGUCUUCCACACACCCUCCUCCUUCCUCUUGUUAUACUACUAUAUUCUACAGUAGUGGACCAAAAAACUACAGCUCACAGAAAUGUUACUGCAGCAUCUU